rnacentral:rRNA from 1 species
CCUCGGGGGGCAGCAGUGGGGAAUAUUGGACAAUGGGGGCAACCCUGAUCCAGCCAUGCCGCGUGUGUGAAGAAGGCCCUCGGGUUGUAAAGCACUUUCAGUGAGGAAGAACGCCUGGUGGUUAAUACCCAUCAGGAAAGACAUCACUCACAGAAGAAGCACCGGCUAACUCCGUGCCAGCAGCCGCGGUAAUACGGAGGGUGCGAGCGUUAAUCGGAAUUACUGGGCGUAAAGCGCGCGUAGGUGGCUUGAUAAGCCGGUUGUGAAAGCCCCGGGCUCAACCUGGGAACGGCAUCCGGAACUGUCAAGCUAGAGUGCAGGAGAGGAAGGUAGAAUUCCCGGUGUAGCGGUGAAAUGCGUAGAGAUCGGGAGGAAUACCAGUGGCGAAGGCGGCCUUCUGGACUGACACUGACACUGAGGUGCGAAAGCGUGGGUAGCAAACAGGAUUAGAUACCCUUGUAGUC